rnacentral:lncRNA from 1 species
UUUAGGAAUGCAAGCUCAAAGGCCACCACCCCUUUUGUAAUAGCCUAUUAUAGGGUGUCCUGGAGUUUUUUAUGAUGUACUCUAAAUUAUAUUUUGAUAUUGAUCAUAACUAGAAAAUCAUAUAAGGGUAUUCUAGAUCAUGCUAUGGAUGGCUAAUUUAUAACGUAGCACUAUUAUAUUAAGGUAUACACUGCAUGUACAUCUGUGUUUCGAUUUGUGUUGACAUUGGUAGAACUUGCCUUACACUUGCUAAAUGAACAAAUCUCAGGGAUGGACUCAUGUAGAUGAUGUAGCUGGGUCCAGUAAAGGCCAAAUGGCCUUAUAGUUUGCCAUACGGAGGUUUUAUAAUGGACUGAUUAGAGAAAAGUUCAGGGAGAAUUGAGUUUCUAUGUGCUACAAUGGUGCUAGAGUCUGAAUGUCUGUGUUCCCCCAAAGUUCUACUGUUGAAGCCCUAUCUCCCAAGGUGAUGGUAUGAGAAGGUGGGGCUUUGGGCGAGGUGAUUAGGUUAUGAAGAUAGAGUUCUCAUUAAUGGGAUUAGUGAAUUCACCCCUUCUAGUUGGUGAGGACACAGCAACAAGUGUGCCGUCUAUGAACCAGAAUGCUGGCCCUCGCCAAACAUUAAAUCUGCUGGCAUGCUAAUCUUGGGCUUCUCAGCCUUCAGAAAAGUUUGUGGGAAAUAAGUUUAUGUUGUUUAUAAACCACCCAUUCUAGGCAAGGAUACAAGGUAAUAUAAAUAUGUCAAACUGAAAAGAACCUGCACCCCGAUAGUUUGUACACUGGGAAGUCAUGAUUUAUAUUCA